AGACCCGAAACCCGGUGAUCUAGCCAUGGGCAGGUUGAAGGUUGGGUAACACUAACUGGAGGACCGAACCGACUAAUGUUGAAAAAUUAGCGGAUGACCUGUGGCUGGGGGUGAAAGGCCAAUCAAACCGGGAGAUAGCUGGUUCUCCCCGAAAGCUAUUUAGGUAGCGCCUCGUGAAUUCAUCUCCGGGGGUAGAGCACUGUUUCGGCUAGGGGGCCAUCCCGGCUUACCAACCCGAUGCAAACUGCGAAUACCGGAGAAUGUUAUCACGGGAGACACACGGCGGGUGCUAACGUCCGUCGUGAAGAGGGAAACAACCCAGACCGCCAGCUAAGGUCCCAAAGUCAUGGUUAAGUGGGAAACGAUGUGGGAAGGCCCAGACAGCCAGGAUGUUGGCUUAGAAGCAGCCAUCAUUUAAAGAAAGCGUAAUAGCUCACUGGUCGAGUCGGCCUGCGCGGAAGAUGUAACGGGGCUAAACCAUGCACCGAAGCUGCGGCAGCGACGCUGAUGCGUUGUUGGGUAGGGGAGCGUUCUGUAAGCCUGCGAAGGUGGCCUGUGAGGGUUGCUGGAGGUAUCAGAAGUGCGAAUGCUGACAUAAGUAACGAUAAAGCGGGUGAAAAGCCCGCUCGCCGGAAGACCAAGGGUUCCUGUCCAACGUUAAUCGGGGCAGGGUGAGUCGACCCCUAAGGCGAGGCCGAAAGGCGUAGUCGAUGGGAAACGGGUUAAUAUUCCCGUACUUGGUGUUACUGCGAAGGGGGGACGGAGAAGGCUAUGUUGGCCGGGCGACGGUUGUCCCGGUUUAAGCGUGUAGGUGUGUGUUCCAGGUAAAUCCGGUUCACUUUAACACUGAGGCGUGACGACGAGGCACUACGGUGCUGAAGCAACAAAUGCCCUGCUUCCAGGAAAAGCCUCUAAGCAUCAGGUAACACGAAAUCGUACCCCAAACCGACACAGGUGGUCAGGUAGAGAAUACCAAGGCGCUUGAGAGAACUCGGGUGAAGGAACUAGGCAAAAUGGUGCCGUAACUUCGGGAGAAGGCACGCUGACACGUAGG
rnacentral:rRNA from 2 species